AUUGAACGCUGGCGGCAGGCCUAACACAUGCAAGUCGAACGAGUGGCGGACGGGUGAGUAAUGUCUGGGAAACUGCCUGAUGGAGGGGGAUAACUACUGGAAACGGUAGCUAAUACCGCAUACCAUCGGAUGUGCCCAGAUGGGAUUAGCUAGUGGGUGGGGUAACGGCUCACCAAGGCGACGAUCCCUAGCUGGUCUGAGAGGAUGACCAUCCAAACUGGAACUGAGACACGGUCAAGAGUCCUACGGGAGGCAGCAGUGGGGAAUAUGGCACAAGGGGCGCAAGCUGGAUGCAGCCAUGCCGCGUGUAUGAAGAAGGCCUUCGGGUUGUAAAGUACUUUCAGCGGGGAGGCGUUACCCGCAGAAGAAGCACCGGCGAACUCCGUGCCAGCAGCCGCGGUAAUAC
rnacentral:rRNA from 1 species